rnacentral:rRNA from 1 species
GAUGAACGCUGGCGGCGUGCCUAACACAUGCAAGUCGAGCGAUCUUCUUCGGAAGAGAGCGGCGGACGGGUGAGUAACGCGUGGGUAACCUGCCCUGUACACACGGAUAACAUACCGAAAGGUAUGCUAAUACGGGAUAAUAUAUUUUUAUCGCAUGGUAAAAAUAUCAAAGCUCCGGCGGUACAGGAUGGACCCGCGUCUGAUUAGCUAGUUGGUAAGGUAACGGCUUACCAAGGCGACGAUCAGUAGCCGACCUGAGAGGGUGAUCGGCCACAUUGGAACUGAGACACGGUCCAAACUCCUACGGGAGGCAGCAGUGGGGAAUAUUGCACAAUGGGCGAAAGCCUGAUGCAGCAACGCCGCGUGAGCGAUGAAGGCCUUCGGGUCGUAAAGCUCUGUCCUCAAGGAAGAUAAUGACGGUACUUGAGGAGGAAGCCCCGGCUAACUACGUGCCAGCAGCCGCGGUAA